rfam:Glycine soja cultivar W05 scaffold2837_74, whole genome shotgun sequence.
UUCUGAUUGGACGAUAACUGUCACGUGUCAUGAGAUGUUGACUCGAUGGACGAUGAAAUGCAUUCUUGUAAUCAUUGGUCAAUCAGAACAUAACAAGUGGCAAUUAUCGUUC